AUGAAUCUGUGUCCUGAAAAUACAUACCAGGACCACAUCUACCUGAAAAGGAAAUGGUUUGUGCAGGUGAGCUGGGUUACAGGGGCAGGGUUGGAGGUGGCAGUGACACGGGAGCAGGGGCUGGGCAGGGGAAUUGGUGUCCCCUGGGGCUGGGGANNNNNNNNNNGGGGCUGGUGUCACUGGUGUCCCCUGGGGCUGGGGAUGUGGGGCUGGGCAGGGGAAUUGGUGUCCUCUGGGGCUGGGGACAGGGCUGGAUUGGGCAGGAGGAACCAGUUUCAACCUCAUUCAUGGCUCUAUCCUGGCUCUAUCCCGGGUUUAUCCUGGCUCCAUCCCAGCUCUGUCCCAGCCCUGUCCUCGCUCUAUCCCAGCUCUAUCNNNNNNNNNNCCCGGCUCUGUCCCGGCUCUAUCCUGUCCCUAUCCCGGCUCUGUCCCGCCUCCAUCGCGGCUCUAUCCCGGCCCCUAUCCCUGCUCUAUCCCAGUUCUAUCCCAGCUCUAUCCCCACUCUAUCCCGGCCCUGUCCCGGCUCCAACCCGGGUUUAUCCCGGCUCUAACCUGGUUCUAUCCCCGCUCUCUCCUGGCUCUAUCCCGGCCCUGUCCCGGCUCUGUCCCGGCUCUAUCCCAGUUCUAUCCCAGCUCUAUCCCGGUUCUAUCCCGGCUCUCUCCAGGUUCUAUCCCAGUUCUAUCCCCGCUCUCUUCCGGCUCUAUCCCAGUUCUAUCCCGGCCCUGUCCCGGCCCUAUCCCGGUUCUAUCCCCGCUCUCUCCUGGCUCUAUCCCGGCCCUAUCCUGGCUCUCUCCUGGCUCUGUCCCGGUUCUAUCCCAGUUCUAUCCCGGCUCUAUCCCAGUUCUAUCCCGGCUCUNNNNNNNNNNUCUAUCCCAGUUCUAUCCCGGCUCUAUCCCAGUUCUAUCCCGGCUCUAUCCCAGUUCUAUCCCGGCCCUAUCCCGGUUCUAUCCCGGCUCUCUCCCGGCCCUAUCCCAGUUCUGUCCCGGCCCUAUCCCGGUUCUAUCCCGGCCCUAUCCCGGUUCUAUCCCGGACCUGUCCCGGCCCUAUGCCGGUUCUANNNNNNNNNNAUUUAUGCUUGA
rnacentral:lncRNA from 1 species